UUCCGCGUCCCCCGUGGGCGUCUGGAAAAUGUGGCGUUUAGGAGGGAUCGUGCCGUGGGUGGAUCGUGCAGCAAGUCCCCCUGACCGGGGCUGUUACCCAGAGUGGGUGCGAGGCCCAUAGCUGCUAGGUCCCCCGCGGAUGUCACCUCUUGGGAGUCGGGUUGCUUGGGAGUGCAGCCCUAAUUGGGUGGUAAACUCCACCUAAGGCUAAAUACGGCCGUGAGACCGAUAGCAAACAAGUACCGUGAGGGAAAGUUGCAAAGAACUUUGAAGAGAGAGUUCAAGAGUACGUGAAACCGCUCAGAGGCAAACGGGUGGGCCCUCGAAAUCCGAUGGCGGGGGGAUUCAGUCAGGUGGUGCGGAGACGUCGCCGGCUGUUCACACGGACCCGUCCAGGCCGGGCCGGUGGCGAGAGUCUCUGACCUCCCUGACGCACUUCCUCCCGCUCGUAGGACGCCGCAACCGGUCGGGUAGACGCGUGCGUCGGCCAUAAGGAUAGGCGCCGGAAGGUGACCGGUGGCGGGGCUCGUUCCCGCCGCCGGUUGUUUAUCCAGUCUGUCCGUGGCACGACACCCGACCGAGGUUGAGUGGUCCUGUUGGGACCCAGCUGUGCCCUCCAAAGAGGAGCGGGCAAGUCGGCAGGCGAGCUGCGGUGGCGUUUCACCACUCGAGAAGUGGUCGACCCGCCGUGGCCGCU
rnacentral:rRNA from 1 species